rnacentral:rRNA from 1 species
UACGAAGGGGGCUAGCGUUGUUCGGAAUUACUGGGCGUAAAGCGCGCGCAGGCGGUCUUCCAAGUCAGUGGUGAAAGCCUGGAGCUCAACUCCAGAACUGCCAUUGAAACUGUGAGACUUGAGUACGAGAGAGGUGAGUGGAAUUCCCAGUGUAGAGGUGAAAUUCGUAGAUAUUGGGAAGAACACCAGUGGCGAAGGCGGCUCACUGGCUCGUAACUGACGCUCAGGCGCGACAGCGUGGGGAUCAAACAGG